CGUUUUUCUCAUGACUGGCUCCUUCUCAUCAUUCAGGAUCACCUUAUCUGCUCCCUCAGGGACACAUUCCCUGGCCAUCUUACUACUUAAUUUCCUUUAUCACAGAAAAUUGGCUAUUUUACCUGUUCACUUAUAUGUCUUCAUGUUAUUUUCUCCUCCCCUUUCCCUUUAGAAUACAGGUCCCCUGAGGUUAAGGCAGCGGUUGGCAAAUUAUGGCCCACAAGCCGAAUCUGGACUGCCGCCUGUUUUUGUGCGGCCCACAAGCUAAGAAUAAUUUUUACAUUACCAAAUGGUUUAAAACAAAAAGAGAAUAUGUUUUAUAGCAUGUGAAGUUUAUAUGAAAUUCAAAUUUUAGUGUCCAUCAAUAAAGUUUUAUUGGAACACAGUGAUGGUCAUUUAUUUAUGUAUUGUUCAUGGCUGCUUUCAAACUACAGUAGUGCAAGUGAGUAUGCAGCCCAGACCAUAAGUGAUGCUGUGGUCACUUUGCACUACUUAGCACACUACAAAUCACAAUGACACAAUUCUAGGAAAAUACAGUUACAACUUGACAGCAUUUCAGAUGCCACAAUACUACUCUACUGCACUUUUUAAGAAAAAUAUAUACCCAUCAUGUCAAAACAAGAAAAGAAGAGAAAAAUGGCUGUCAGCGUGACAUUUUUUACGACAUAGCAGAGUGUGGAUUAUCUUGCUAUUGAAUUAGAUGGCAAAACAUUGUGAUUAUUAUACAGUGACAGUAUACCUAUGCUGAAAGAAUGCACUGUAUAUGGACAUUACUGAACUAAGUACUCAUAACAGAAUUUCCAACUCACAAGAAAACAAUGGCCUGAGGUCUUCCAGGAAGAAGGCAAGAGGAGUCAGACAGCAAUGUUACCACAGAAGGAGAGGGACAAAGAAAUUUGACGAUGCUACCCCAAUAACUAAGUAUAGAGGAAAGGGGCCAUCAACUAAAGACUGUAGGUGAUCCCCAGACACUGGAAAAGUCAAGGAAAUGGAUUGUCCACCACAGAGACUCCAGGAAAAAAAACAAAAAACAAAAAAAACAGCAUUUGUUAACAUCCUGACUUUAGCCUAAUAAAACUGAUUUUGCACAUCCCCAGCUAUUAGAAUAAAUUUUGCUUUUUUAAGCCAUUAA